rnacentral:rRNA from 1 species
UACGGGGGGGGCAAGCGUUGUUCGGAAUUACUGGGCGUAAAGGGCUCGUAGGCGGCCAACUAAGUCAUACGUGAAAUCCCUCAGCUUAACUGGGGAACUGCGUGUGAUACUGGAUGGCUUGGAUUUGGGAGAGGGAUGCAGAAUUCCAGGUGUAGCGGUGAAAUGCGUAGAUAUCUGGAGGAAUACCGGUGGCGAAGGCGGCAUCCUGGACCGAGAUUGACACUGAUGAGCGAAAGCUAGGGGAGCAAACGGG